rnacentral:rRNA from 1 species
ACGCUCGACACCUACGGGAGGCAGCAGUGGGGAAUAUUGGGCAAUGGGCGCAAGCCUGACCUAGCAACGCCGCGUGAAGGAAGAAGGCUUUCGGGUUGUAAACUUCUUUUGUCAGGGAACAGUAGAAGAGGGUACCUGACGAAUAAGCUCCGGCUAACUACGUGCCAGAAGCCGCGGUAAUCUGAGGCGGGCUGGCAAGGC